GACGAACGCUGGCGGCGUGCCUAAUACAUGCAAGUAGAACGCUGAAGGAGGAGCUUGCUUCUCUGGAUGAGUUGCGAACGGGUGAGUAACGCGUAGGUAACCUGCCUGGUAGCGGGGGAUAACUAUUGGAAACGAUAGCUAAUACCGCAUAAGAGUAGAUGUUGCAUGACAUUUACUUAAAAGGUGCAAUUGCAUCACUACCAGAUGGACCUGCGUUGUAUUAGCUAGUUGGUGAGGUAACGGCUCACCAAGGCAACGAUACAUAGCCGACCUGAGAGGGUGAUCGGCCACACUGGGACUGAGACACGGCCCAGACUCCUACGGGAGGCAGCAGUAGGGAAUCUUCGGCAAUGGACGGAAGUCUGAACGAGCAACGCCGCGUGAGUGAAGAAGGGUUUCGGAUCGUAAAGCUCUGUUGUAAGAGAAGAACGAGUGUGAGAGUGGAAAGUUCACACUGUGACGGUAUCUUACCAGAAAGGGACGGCUAACUACGUG
rnacentral:rRNA from 1 species